CAAUAGAGUAAGCAAACAACUAAAAUUUCCAUGCUCUUGUGGGUUUUCUUUUAUUAUCGCUUCUGUUAAACAUAUUCAUUCAAAAUGGUUAUAGGGCCAGCUGAUAAAAUGCUUCAAUGCGCUGAAAGAAAUGGUGGAAAUGGACUGGUACAAUUCAACGAUGGAUACAGUUUCGAGCACAAGAACCCCUUUGAGCGUGCUGGACAGGCAUUGCAUCAAAUCAGAAAGUCAGACCACCAACAUCUCUGCCACUGCAUUGCCCCAGAAGAGAGAAAUCAAGCGGCGCUCAAAACGAUUGGCUAUUACAGCAAGUGACAAUAUGGUCCAGCUGAAUUUCGCAGAUUCAAGCAGAGCAAAUAACUCUGUUUCGAGGGGAAAUUUGCAAUUGGUCAAUUCCUCAAGCGCCAUAACAGAACCCACAGAGGAAUAGCUUGCAAUGAGACAAUCUACAUCCCCAAAAAAAAAUAAAAAAAGAGAAUUUAUUUGCGUUUAUGGGAUUUUGAGAUGGGGUAAAGAAGGUAUUGGGAAGGGACGACGAAUGACAAAACAGAGCUUUGAAUGUCAACUUUUUCUAUAUGUUUCUGGAUAAAUGGUUGUCUGUUUCCUGGUGGCAGAGAGCGAAUUGCAGUAUUUUUUUUCUUUUUUUAAAAUGCCAAGAUAAUGAAUUUCUUGAGAAGGG
rnacentral:misc_RNA from 1 species